UUCUCAGUAGCCAGUGAGCGGGGCAGAAAAGAGAAGGGCUGCUUUCUGCCUCAGGGAUUACUUUAAAACACACGCACAAACGGCGUUUGCGUUAUCCCUUUUCCUCUUCGCUUUAUGGUUCUGGCAGCUGAUCCGAAUUGGCUUCCCCAGGGCCCUCGCCCAUCCCGACUUCUCACAAGCUUCGCUUCCUUUCCUUCCGCACAUUAUCGCUUCCCCCCGACCGCUAAAGUUUUGUCUUCCUCACACACAAACAACCUGUAGGACUCUUCUCCUCACGAAUCCCACCAGCCUCCGUUAUUCACUCAGGACCGUCAGGAGCGCCCUCAGGGCAGGACCUCGGGGGACAGAAGUCAGUCGAACAAGCCACGAAGGCCUCAAACGCAGCAGCCCUUUAGAAUUAGAGUGCUCCAGAAACACAACACAGUCAAAGAAAGUUGUGACCGGCUGGCACAUAUAGACAAACCUGUCUACACGGCUUCCUUGUUUGCAGAAUAGAAAACGGAAUAACUGUGAAAAAUAAGCUAUAGAAAUAAGGCAAGAAACAUUUAGCUGCUGGAGGAAAAAACGCAAUAGCUCCAGAAGAGAGGGGUGAGUGGGAAGUACAGCGUUUAUAUUCAAAUACGUGUGU